GACGAACGCUGGCGGCGUGCUUAACACAUGCAAGUCGAACGGAAAGGCCCUGCUUUUGUGGGGUGCUCGAGUGGCGAACGGGUGAGUAACACGUGAGUAACCUGCCCUUGACUUUGGGAUAACUUCAGGAAACUGGGGCUAAUACCGGAUAGGAUCUCCUGCUGCAUGGUGGGGGUUGGAAAGUUUCGGCGGUUGGGGAUGGACUCGCGGCUUAUCAGCUUGUUGGUGGGGUAGUGGCUUACCCAGGCUUUGACGGGUAGCCGGCCUGGGAGGGUGAACGGCGACAUUGGGACUGAGGUAGGGCGCAGACGCCUACGGUGGGCAACAGUGGGAAAUAUUGCACAGUGGGCGGAAGUCUGAUGAAGCAGCGCCGGGGGCGGGAUGACGGUCUUCGGGUUGUAAACCGCAUUCGCCUGUGACGAAGCGUGAGUGACGGUAAUGGGUAAAGAAGCACCGGCUAACUACGUG
rnacentral:rRNA from 1 species